AGCUGGCCGGGCAAGUCCAUCGGGAAAUCCCACCUGCUCAACAGGUGGGCGACCGGUGGAAACUGCCUGGCUUGGGAUCGGAAGGCUCAGAGAGUACGUCCGGGGUAGGAGUGAAAUCCCGUAAUCCCGGACGGACUACCGAUGGCGAAAGCACUCUGAGAAGACGACUCCGACAGUGAGGGACGAAAGCUCGGGUCUCAAACCGGAUUAGAUACCCGGGUAGUCCGAGCCGUAAACGAUGCUCGUUAGGUGUGGCACCCACUACGAGUGGGUGCUGUGCCGCAGGGAAGCCGCUAAACGAGCCGCCUGGGAAGUACGUCCGCAAGGAUGAAACUUAAAGGAAUUGGCGGGGGAGCACUACAACCGGAGGAGCCUGCGGUUUAAUUGGACUCAACGCCGGACAUCUCACCAGCCCCGACAUCAGUAAUGACAGUCAUGUUGACGACAUCUGCUCGAGCUGAUGAGAGGAGGUGCAUGGCCGCCGUCAGCUCGUACCGUGAGGCAUCCUGUUAAGUCAGGCAACGAGCGAGAUCUACAUCCCUAAUUGCCAGCACCACCGCUAGGUGGGUGGGUACAUUAGGGAGACUGCCAGUGCUAAACUGGAGGAAGGAGUAGGCAACGGUAGGUCCGCAUGCCCCGAAA
rnacentral:rRNA from 1 species